CCAGCACCUGAAAGGGUAGGCACGUGUCAGAUGGAAUGUCAGGGGCUGUGGCCAGGCCCCUUAUUGUAGAUAAGGGAAAACCAGGAAGCUUAGGCUAAAUUAAAAACAAAAAUUAAAGAAUGAAAACUCAUCGUGGAAGAAAAGAGACAGAAAGUGAAGUCACUUGCCCCCAACCAUUCAGCUUUUCCCACGAAAAGGUCAUGCUGCUUAGGGCUCAGCCUAGUACUGCCGGAUUUUAAAAGUGAACCAGGAGGUCGCGGGCUGUUCAAAGACGGGUGCAUCCCGGCCACUGCACCGUUUUGUGACAAGAAGAAAGCAGGGGUUCCAGCCUUGGCCGCAUCAGCCCCUAAUGCAUCUGCCCCGAGUCGCGGGCGACUUCCGCCCCAGCCAAUUUUAAAACCUCCCUUUGAGCCAGGAACCACCCCUCGGCUGAAAUCCUGGGGUCUUGAUGGACAGCAACGGAGAGCUACUCUGUCCGGUGUCCUGUUUUCUGGCCCACCUGCCACAGAUUCCACAGUCGCCUUCACUCGAGUAGGCAGCCGCUCUUCAGACUGCGAAGUCAGGGUUGGCUUUGACUCUGAUGAAACCAUUGUGGAUAUGCCACACCCAUUUCCCAGUAGGCUGGCUUCGCACCUCCCCCUAAGAGCUUUUCCAGCUCGUUCCCUUUGGGUAACCUGGCAGGCUCCGCACAGUGCCCGUACCCAGUGACAGCUUAAAUGGUUCUGCAAUGACUCAAAGGCGAAACCAUGAGCUGGAACAGAGGGGCUGACAAAGGCGAUGGCGAGAAUCUGACAGAAAACGGAAGUAGGUGACUGAAACAGGACCAGAACCAUCCUGGCCACUUGGUCUAAAUAAACAGAUUUGACUGGCUUUGCCAAAAUACAGUAAA